GUUACGGUCUUCUCUGGAUUUUGGAGUAUCGCUUCCUGCCCCCGCCUUCCCUCCCCGCCCCAUUCUCUGUCCUAUUGAACACCUCGCCCAGCCUAGCGCACUGCAAGCUCACAUUCUCCCCCCGGCUCCGGAUGGCGCUCCUGGAAGCUCUUCAGCCGGGCUCCACUUCAAAUGGGAGUGUCUCCCAAGUGAAAGGACACAGACUGCGGGGACUGCCAGCCUGAUGGGCGCUCGUGCCAGCUGUGAAGCUUUGAAACAAAGCAAGUGACCACCUGAAGAUACCCCUCCUGCCCAGCAGCCCCCCACAUGAUGCAGUUGCAGCCAACAGUCAUCUUGAAAAGAAACAGAAAGACCCAGACCAUUCAUGAGUCAUAAAUUUGCCUUUCCUCAUGUGCAUUUGUCUGUCUGUGUUCAGAUUCACAUGCCAUCUAGUUUUGAACCAAGUAUGGAUAGGAGUAUUAGUCUGCUUGGGUAAAGGCAACUUUCCCCAGGUGUGUUAACGUAUGACGAGACUGGAUUUUCUGGGAAGACUGGUGUUCAAUCAACAUAUAGUAUUUGUUCUUGAACAAGAUCCAGAAAGUUCAAAACAAUGUCUCCACAGGUGGCCCACAAAGACACUCAUGCCACCACGCAGAAACACAACAUCAUGCCCCCAGACUCUGAGCGGCAAGUUUGACACCGUGACAUAUAGCAGCUGCUUCCAAGGGUGGAAAUCAAACUGGGCAAGGGUAUCCUAGCUACCCAAUAUGUAGUGAUAAAACUGAUUCAGUUGACAAUAAGAGCAGAAAUAAAACAAAAGACGAUGGACUCAGAAGAGGCCAAGUUGAUUUGCCUAAGGGAGAAUGUUGCCCUAAAGAGAAAAUAUGAAGUGAACCUGAAAGAAGGUUAAAAGAAAAGUGUUGCAUAAAUGGGAAGGUAGGAGAAAAUAGAGUCCUUAAAGUGGACAUGAUAGUAUGCAAGGGCAGGGCAUAGGAAAUCCUCAGGGUGAGUUUUGAAGGUGGCAAAUACGUCAACAUGACUCCCCCCAGUACUCAGCACCCCUCUCUGUGCGUCUUAUAAAGAUGGUGCACACAUGUAUCUUCCCUUUCAUACCCCAGACAUCACCUAAGCCCAGCUAGAACUAAAGCUCCAGUUCUCUGUCACAAGAAAAAGAAGAAGGCAGUUGGUGGCACCUGCGUAGAACUCACGAUUCUUUUGUUCAUAAUUGCUAGUUACCAAAUUUCUUCAAUUUGUGAAGCAUUUUGCUUAAGAAAUUUCACGACAACUAUGAAAAUCAUACAUUAUUCUUGCUUCUUAGGUGAUUAAACUGAUAUUGAUGAGGCUAAGUGCCUGGCCGAGGUGCUAGGUGCAGCUAUGAACAUUCAAGGCUGUGGUCACAAAACUCAUGAGCUGAAGUCUGAAGCCAGAAUUUUGUGAUCAGUGCCAAUGCUGUUGUCCUUUUCCCCACAGCCCUUAACGUCUAUCUGUGCAAACAACUCGCUCUUCUGCUUACUGAUGGCCUCAAUGGUUUUGCAUGUGAAUUACACGAGAAUGAUAAAAAUGUGUUUUCACAACAGAAAAUUGAGCAUUUAGUGGAGGAGAGCCUGCCAACAGUCUAGAUAUUUCCUUUGCAUUUUGGUCAGACAUCAUGAGACUUUUGACACAGAUACCUCUUACAAUAUCUCUUUGACAGAAAACAAAUCUAGAGUCUGUAAGAAAAGUAACUUAAAGAAAAAUCCCAAACAGCUCAAACAAACAAAACAAAACAAAACAAAACAAAACAAAACAAAACAAAACAAACCACAUAUUUGUAAGUGGCCCAGAAAGGACAAGAAAGUAGGCCUUCAGUUGUCUUUCAAUGGCUUUUAAAUGAUUCCACCCUGCCCCAAAGAAACACAUACUUCUAUUUAAUUAAAGGAGGUACCAUGUCUAUGUGAUCAAGGAAUGUCUCAUAGACCAGAUUUAAUAGAUCUCUCCAUUCCCGUCCCCUCUUUGGCCACUUCAUGUCAGUGUGAAAUACAGCUAUGAGCUAGUGUAUUUGGGUCAAGAAGUUGUCAAUAAUCUGUCCCCAAGGAGUAUCAAAUAGCUACAGUUGUAUGCAUACUGUUUCAUUAAUGAUAUUCCCAAUCAUGGAGUCAUUGGUUCACCUGUACAGGUUCAAUUUCCCAUUGGACAUCUUCUCAAUCCACUUGGCCAGUGUUCCACUUUUGUAAACGCUGUGAGUGCUCUUACCCAUGGCUGUCUCAGUGCUACUUAAGUGUUAACAAUGACCCCUAGUCAUUUUGUGUUGUAAUCCUCGUUUAUUCGUAUAACUAAUUCAAAGAUAUUUGGUCCAUAAAAAUAUAGAACUAAAAAUCCCAUUCUUGCUUCCAGCCCCUCUGCCUUUGAUUGACAUUGAGCAGUGAUUAAUAAAGCGGCUGGCUACAUAACAUAGAUGCCCAAAUUGUGAUUUUUGUCUUCAAGGGGACAAUUAAGCUAGGUCUACUAAGGGACAGAUGUUUAACUUUUGGAGAUACCUGGAUAUUUAACCGAUGUAACGUUUUACUUAGCUGUUUGAUGUUGUCAUAUGCAGUCCCCAUCAUGGUUCUGGCUGUCUUGUUUUUUCAAACUAUUUGUUGGCUCUGUCUCACACUGUUCUCACUGAGUUCAUAAAUAAACAGGUUUGUUGUGAAUGAGUAGCCCAAGCACAAAGUGUGACUUUGUUGACAUUUUAUGAGACUUUUCUAGGUCCUUGACUCCAAAUAAAAGAAAGGUUGCAUUAACUGUGAA